rnacentral:rRNA from 1 species
GAUGAACGCUGGCGGCGUGCCUAAUACAUGCAAGUCGAGCGAACAGACGAGGAGCUUGCUCCUCUGACGUUAGCGGCGGACGGGUGAGUAACACGUGGAUAACCUACCUAUAAGACUGGGAUAACUUCGGGAAACCGGAGCUAAUACCGGAUAAUAUAUUGAACCGCAUGGUUCAAUAGUGAAAGACGGUUUUGCUGCCACUUAUAGAUGGAUCCGCGCCGCAUUAGCUAGUUGGUAAGGUAACGGCUUACCAAGGCAACGAUGCGUAGCCGACCUGAGAGGGUGAUCGGCCACACUGGAACUGAGACACGGUCCAGACUCCUACGGGAGGCAGCAGUAGGGAAUCUUCCGCAAUGGGCGAAAGCUUGACGGAGCAACGCCGCGUGAGUGAUGAAGGUCUUCGGAUCGUAAAACUCUGUUAUUAGGGAAGAACAAAUGUGUAAGUAACUAUGCACGUCUUGACGGUACCUAAUCAGAAAGCCACGGCUAACUACGUG